rnacentral:rRNA from 1 species
CAGCAAUAUCACAUUGAAACACCAGUUCUCAUAUGAUCACUGAAUUUAAGCAACAUCAAACCUGGUCAGUAUCUAGAUGGGUGACUGCUUGGGAAUACCAGGUGUUGUAA